rnacentral:rRNA from 1 species
CUGAUUUGUCCGCUGACCACCACCAGGCUGCAGAUACCGUUCGAUUGCUUGAUCGUAAGCAGAGCCUACCAGGCUCCCCCUCAUCUGCCCCGUGGGCUGCCAGUUCGGAUCCAUCUCGAUCUCCGGGACAUCGGGGUCCUCGAGCAGGGGCGUAGCGGGAGUCGGAGAAGGAGGUGGUAGACCAGGAGAAUGCACACGCGGAACAGUAGGUGCUAGGCCAGGAGACUGCACACGCGGAGCAGUAGGUGCUAGGCCAGGAGACUGCACACGCGGA